GGGGAUGUACUUGGUUUCGACGGAUGUAUACCCAUGAUCAUACACAGCCACGACGCGAUGGGCGUACCGCGUAUUCAGAAUCGCCCCACUCUAACGUGCAAAAUCUAACCUAAGACUCAACGUAGCUCAAAGAGCUAUGGCACUUGUUGCCUAGUGUUCGCUCGUCGUCUCUAAACUCCGCGAUAUAAGAUCGCACCAACGAGUUAUACCUGAUCGGAUCUCGCGCUCAAAAUACCGAUCACCUGGACCGAACGAAUCGAUAAUGGCUGUCCUUGGCCUUCGUCUUCCUGUUCGUGUCGUCAUCUGGUACUAAUCAAGCGACUAUCGUGGUAGACAUGUGUGCUCAUGACAUUCAGACAGGGGUUCGACUCCCCUCAUCUCCAAAA
rnacentral:tmRNA from 1 species